rnacentral:lncRNA from 1 species
UCUAGAGAGAAACUACAUGUUUGUGCGCCUCGAUUGACAGUUUUUAACCAAGACCUUUGCCCAUGAGUUGCUUUAAGUUUUUGCGACAUGCUUGAGUUGGGGGAAAAGGGAGCAUGACCCGUGAUGGACAGUGACCAGACCUGGAGACUUGAUAAGUCGCGUGUGGGCUUGGAUGGGACCCGGACUGUGUUGCUAUCUAACCACAGCAUGUGAGGCUGCAGACACAAACAUUUGUAUUUGUAUUUUGAUGGAUUGGAUUGGGGUCGAGAGUUGAUUAAAUGUGCAGGUUGUAUGUCUUAUCAUUGAAGGACUGAAGAGCACACUACAUGAAUGUUAGGUACAUGCAUUAGCUCUCUGUGUUACGUGCCUCGUCAUUUUGCAACAUUUUAUUCAUCGUAGAGUUUAAUUGAAUUUAUGUUCAUAUUCAGUUUUUUUUUAUAAUUUUCAUUUGUUUACAUGUUGAGAUUUUAAAAUCUUUUAUUAUCAAUCUUUUGUGUUCUGAACUUGGCACAUGUUUUUGUGUCAAUCGACAUAAAGUGUAGUUUUAAUGUCUCAAAACUCGAAGAAAAAAAAUUGGUUAUUCAGUCAAGAGCUCUGAAGUUUUUGGGGUGCCCCUUACAAACAUCUGCUAGGUGCUUACACUUCAGCCGUAUUUCCCAAAUUAGUGAAAUGCACAGGUGCAAAAUUACUGCAAGGUGUGUGUAGUUUGUUAUAAUGGGUUUAGCGAAUUCCCUAUUCCUUCCUAGUUUUGUUUAAAUCAUGGAGAAAGGACACAUUUAGGCCUCACAUGAUUAUGGCAAGAAUGCUUUUAUUCCUUUGCUCCGUGAAGCUUUCAUAGGGGGAGGGUGACCAUGACCUGCUACUGACUCUCCUCGGUCCGUUGCUCCCAGAAGGGAUGCGAGGUCAUUCGGCCGGGCGAGCUCAAGCAGCCUUCUCCCUUUAAAUACAGCUUGAGUUGACCUGGCCAGGUUCCCCGCGAUCACUUCACAGCUAGGUGUCUGGAAUUGCAUUCUGCGUCUGCAUAUAUUAAACCAUAUACACAUGUACAUGCAUAUACUGUCUGCCUGGCAGACAUCAGUUAAGCUGUGGAUUUUCUGUGCAACGUGUACUGGCCAGUUAAAAGCAGAUCUCUUUCCAGCCGUGACUUGCCUGAAAUUACUAGUUUGCAUGAUGUUUUAAUUAAUUUGUAGUCCUUCCUCGGGCAUAGAUGUCUUUGUGUGUGAUAACCCAGGCUCACUGUUUGGAGUUUUCAUCAGUUUUAUCAUACAAGGAUUGCCCUGCUGCUAGAUUCAAAGCAAACUUGUCAAGCCCCAGUUAGAAAUUUACAGUUUUUUCUUUUAUUUAACAGGAUUCCCCAAUUUUUAUGCUAGUUGAUGGAUACUUAAAUACAUUUUCCUAAGCUGUGCCACUUCGUACCUAGAAAGAUUAUAGCAAGUUUUGUAUGUUUGUGUCUCGGUAAUUUCUCAAUACAAUGUAGUGAAAUAAAGUGUCAGUACGGAGAAAAUGGA